rnacentral:lncRNA from 1 species
AUCAGCAUGAAUAGUCACACCAGAACUGGCUUUGGACCAAGUUGAACUGUGCAGUGGUUGAUCUCCAGCCUUAUCAACUGCCUCAACAACAACAUUUGCCAUUUUCUCAUUUAGUCUAGAUCCAAUCAUCUUCUCAAAGUGCUCAUUUUUACUAAUCUUCCACUCAGCGACACUGUCAGAAUCUACUGCCCACACCACAAGUUCUUGACUAGACCCCCAGAUAAUCCUGCUUGCCAUAUCAGUCACAAAGUUAUCCAAAUUAUACCCAGAACAUGUAUCCAC